AUAGGUUUAGUAUAAAUAAUACGAAACGCUUACAACGUUGCUAUCGCUACGCGGGCCUAUU
rnacentral:tRNA from 1 species